GAUUAAGAACGUAGCGAAAUGCGAUAAGUAAUGUGAAUUGCAGAAUUCAGUGAAUCAUCGAAUCUUUGAACGCAUCUUGCGCUCCCUGGUAUUCCGAGGAGCAUGCCUGUUUGAGUGUCAUCUAAAUCCUCAAACCACAUUGAUUCUUUCGGUGUGGCUUUGGAAGUGGGGGUAGUGUUUGCAGGUUUUAUCUUAAGUCUGCUCCCCUGAAAUGCAUUAGUGGUAUCUGAGCAGAAGGAACUACUACAGGUGUGAUAAUUUAUCUAUGCCUUAGUAUACUGCAUAAAACAGAUUACACUGCUUAUAACAAACUUUUUUUCUUGUUUUUGGAGACCUCAAAUCAGGUAGGACUACCCGCUGAACUUAAGCAUAUCAAUAAGCGGAGGA
rnacentral:misc_RNA from 1 species